AUGAGGAAACUGAGGGCAAGAAGUUGUCCAGACUGGAGUCAGGAGGACCAGCAUUCAAAUCUGACCUUAGACACUUCCAAUCUAUGUGACUCUGGAUUCCAUCAUCAAGAACUAUCUUCAAGAUUCUGUACUUCUGAAUUUUGGUCUUUGCCUAUGGCCUGGCAUUUAAACUUCUACCCUGAGAUCUUGAGCUUCUGAUUGGUGAACAUUUACCUCUUCUAACACAGACCUAGAACCACCAUAUCAUCUAGUCAUCUCCAUAGCAUGUUCCUGAGUGUAUGCCCUCUUCUCCCUUGCUCCUCCCAAAUCUGCUUUCCCACUCUAGCUUUGAAAACAAUAAUCAAGUCAAUACUGCCAUUCUUGGAAAAGGGAUAAGUGCUACAGGAGAUGGAAGAAGGCCUGGGGUCAGAGGGAAGAUUGUUCUUUGCAUCAUCAGAGUCUCUCUGCAACCUGGUUGGAAGAUUGAGCUGGAAGAAGAAGGUGGAAGUUGAAGCUGGACUAGGACACAGAUGAGAAUUCUGUGUCACAUGAUCAAUAAGAUGGAAGAUGAGACAACAGGGAAGAAUAGAAGAAUGUAUGCUGAGGAGCAAAGAAGCUCAAGAUGUAACUCCAGAUGACUGAUAUGGCAAACCUGAGUCUUAUUAAUGAAAAAAAGAUGAAUGUUCAAUAGAAAAGAGAAUUUCAAAGCAUUCCUCAAAAGAAAACCAAACCUGAAGAAAGUAUUUGCUUUCCAAAUACCUAGACAAUGAAUAUAAAAGGAAUGUAAAUAAAUAGAAUUAAGGACAAUAACA
rnacentral:lncRNA from 1 species